CAGACUGUAAAAAUAAGUUUUUCUGACCACUUUUGCAAUAUUUUCUUAUAUCAUAUUGAUAUAGCUGUCAGAUAUUAGCACAAAACUCUGAAAAUUUGUGAAGGAGAAGGUCCGGUAAGGACUCAUUUUGGCCUCAAAUUUCAGUUUCAUCUGACGAAAGAUUUUGACCACUUUUUAAACACUUAAGUGUCUAUUUCACUUGAUUCAAUUAGUAAAUGUGAAAGAUUUUAACUGAUUUAGUCAUUUAAGACAAUCAGAUUCAUGCUCAAAUAUGCAAAAUCUCUCAAAUAUGCCAAAAAACGUCACUUUUUAGAUGGUUUUUGUCAAAAAUGAAAGUGGUCGCAUCUGUGUUCAUCCACAACCUUUAUAUAUGUUAUGUAUUAUCAUAAAAUACAACUUACAUUUCAAUAUUAAGAAUGAACACGAAUGUGGCCACUUUCGUUUAACACGGAAACCGUCUAAAAUUUAACUAAAAUGAUAGAAUAUUGAAGAUUUCAGUAAUUUAGCAUGACUUAAUGGUGCUACAACCCGAUAUAUGUCAAUUGUAUUGUCAAAAACAGCCCAUUUUUAUGUAGCAGAAGCAUUCAACUGUCCAAUAAAUAACUUAAAGUUUACAUUUUAACAAUUUUGUAAAACUGUUAUAUUUUGGGGCCAAAAAGGGGUCUUACCGGACCUACUCCUUUACACACUUCAGGGACAAUAGCUCAUAGAUGUUACGUCCCAAUUUUACAGAAAAAUUUUGGGUAGUAAAAGAUCUUGACAUUUUGAUAGUUUUACAAUAUAUAUAUAUGCUGCAGUGCAGGCGAUUUGGUGUCACGAUAUCACAGUAGCAUUGGUUCGAAUCCCGGCGAGGGAAGAACCAAAAAUUUGCGAAAGCAAAUUUACAGAUCUAACAUU
rnacentral:lncRNA from 1 species